GAUCCUGGCUCAGGAUGAACGCUAGCGACAGGCUUAACACGUGCAAGUCGAGGGGCAGCAUGAUCUGUAGCAAUACAGAUUGAUGGCGACCGGCGCACGGGUGAGUAACGCGUAUGCAACUUACCUAUCAGAGGGGGAUAGCCCGGCGAAAGUCGGAUUAAUACCCCAUAAAACAGGGGUCCCGCAUGGGAAUAUUUGUUAAAGAUUCAUCGCUGAUAGAUAGGCAUGCGUU
rnacentral:rRNA from 1 species